rnacentral:rRNA from 2 species
AGUGGACGCAUCACUGGUGUUCGGGUUGUCAUGCCAAUGGCACUGCCCGGUAGCUAAAUGCGGAAGAGAUAAGUGCUGAAAGCAUCUAAGCACGAAACUUGCCCCGAGAUGAGUUCUCCCUGAGACUUUAAGUCUCCUGAAGGAACGUUAAAGACGAUGACGUUGAUAGGCCGGGUGUGUAAGCGCAGCGAUGCGUUGAGCUAACCGGUACUAAUGAACCGUGAGGCUUAACCUUACAACGCCGAAG